CACUGGAGAACCAGCUGUCUGAGGUGGGCAGGAAUCAUUCCACACCAUCUUCUAAGAGGAAAAAAAAUAAUUUAUUCACAUUCGAUAUGGUCUGUAAAUGCCACCAUUAGAUGCUUUCCUCCAGCCUUUGAUUAGCUAUGGAUUAAUAAAACUUUUAUACCUUC